UCUCACCGUACAAAUUUGACUGCCAAUUCAGUUAGUAUUUCUCUUUUCUGAAACGUACAAUAGUUAUGAGGAAUCUUUAAUUCCUUCAAUUGCGGAGAAAACAGGACACGCUUGUUUCAUUUUUCCCAAUCACAGCUGCUGAAUCACUCGCAUGUGUUUGUCGUGGAGUUGUUACUUCGAUUUUCAUUUUCCAGCUUAUUCGCUUAGAUAUUGUUAUGGUGGAUGAUACAACGGCUCCAAGUUAUUGGUUGAACUGGAGAUUCUUGCUCUGUGCACUAUUGAUUCUGUUAGCCAUGUUGGUUUCUGCAUUCCUAAUAUGGAGACACGAAGGGCAUAGGGAAUCCGGUGGGGAUCAGCUGGAGGCAGCAGGGGGCUUGUAUUGGGAUGAAGUUUGGGGGACUUGCUGAAAAUCAAUCCAUCCUAUUUGGUUGCUUGCUUAUAGACUACUUGCUUUCUCUCUGCUGUUUGCUGUGCUUCUAGCUGAUCUAAUCAUCAGUGGUGUUGGGAAAUAUUAUUUUUAUACUGAGUGGACGUUUACUUUGGUCAC